rnacentral:rRNA from 1 species
CCUACGGGCGGCUGCAGUGGGGAAUAUUGGACAAUGGGGGGAACCCUGAUCCAGCCAUGCCGCGUGUGUGAAGAAGGCCCUCGGGUUGUAAAGCACUUUCAGUGAGGAAGAACGCCUGGUGGUUAAUACCCAUCAGGAAAGACAUCACUCACAGAAGAAGCACCGGCUAACUCCGUGCCAGCAGCCGCGGUAAUACGGAGGGUGCGAGCGUUAAUCGGAAUUACUUGGCGUAAAGCGCGCGUAGGUGGCUUGAUAAGCCGGUUGUGAAAGCCCCGGGCUCAACCUGGGAACGGCAUCCGGAACUGUCAAGCUAGAGUGCAGGAGAGGAAGGUAGAAUUCCCGGUGUAGCGGUGAAAUGCGUAGAGAUCGGGAGGAAUACCAGUGGCGAAGGCGGCCUUCUGGACUGACACUGACACUGAGGUGCGAAAGCGUGGGUAGCAAACAGGAUUAGAUACCCCGGUAGUC